CAAUGAAAAUGUGUUAAACAACCCAACUCAUACGAAAGUUGCAUUGUAUCUAUCGCUCAGCAUCCGCACCCAAACCAUGAGAAAUCGCAGCCUUUAUGCAUCGCUGGUUUCACUUUUUUGCUUCGUCGUUCUUAUGAUCGUAACCCCAGCCAUUCCUCAGUCCCAAGAGUAUCAUAAUUUCGCUGACCACCGCAAAUUCUUCGGUAUUACUAAUGCACUUAAUGUGAUAUCAAAUUUCCCUUUUCUGGUUAUUGGUCUCGUUGGACUUGUACUCUGUUAUCAUGGAAACUACUUUAGACUCAGCUUGCAAGGUGAAAUAUGGGGUUGGACUUGCUUCUAUGUUGGUGUGGCUGCUGUUGCAGUUGGAUCUUCAUACUAUCAUCUCAAGCCAGAUGAUGCUCGCCUUGUCUGGGAUAGGCUCCCAAUGACUGUUGCUUUCACAUCCAUCAUUGCAAUAUUCAUCAUUGAGCGGAUUGAUGAGAGGAAGGGAACGGUUUCAAUUAUACCUCUACUUUUGGCUGGUAUAAUAAGCAUUGUGUAUUGGAGGUUCUUUGAUGACCUUCGUCCAUAUGCUCUGGUCCAGUUUGUGCCUUGCAUUGCCAUUCCUAUAAUGGCUAUUUUGUUACCUCCAAUGUACACACAUUCAACAUAUUGGCUCUGGGCUGCAGGGUUUUAUCUUUUAGCGAAAGUGCUAGAAGCUACUGAUGAGGUGAUCUAUGGAUGGACACACCAUAUUGUCAGUGGUCACACACUUAAGCAUCUAGCUGCAGCAAUGGUACCUGUAUUCUUAACAUUCAUGCUUGCUAAAAGGAAUGUUGAACCUGAGAGACAAAAUUUGCUUAAAACUUGGAGGGUUUCUUGGAUGAAGUUUAGAGAGGGCAACUUCAACAUUGGGAGCUACUCUUACUCAGGCGUGGCAGUUGUGGAGACAUAGUAUGAUGUUACUUUCCCAUACAACAAAAUAAAGGGGUAUACUGGAUUACCUAAUAUUGUUAAGCUUGAAUGUGGACCAGCUUUUGUUUCAGGGCUUGAAUUUCAACAUUGGGGUUUGAAAUACACCUAUAUGGGCCUCAACCUUUGUCUCCAACUUCACCUUUAGUGCCACCUUUGGUCCUCCUCAAUCUUUGAUCUAUUCCUCUAAGCCCGGGAAAGUGCUACAUACAACAUGCCACAACCAAAUGUUGUAGACAAAUCAAUGUGGAUUCCCUCAAGAGUCAUUCCUUGACACUUGUAAAUGCUAAUAGACCAUGCCGAUAUCUGCGUUGUGCAUGAUACAACUUCAGGUCCAUCCAUUAUAUCCUACAUUGCUGGCUUAAUUGCCACAAAUUUCCCUCCAUUCAUAAGCAGCACUUUAGCAUGUCCAAAUUAUAUACCAACUGAUAGCAACCCUCCAAGCAAAGGUGAUCCAAAGCUAGAAGAGAAGCUAGGGUGUUUGGUUCCUUAGAUGGAGUUUGCGGAAUAUGGUGGGCAAAGGACAAGGACAAUGAGGAAACUAUGGUUGCAAGGGAGAAGGCUCGCGAUCUUAGGUGGUUAUAUGGUAGGGAGAAGACUCAAAGAAAUGCUAGGUCAAUUCUAAGAAGAAGGUGAUUAGAAGGAUAUCAUGGUUGCUCUAGUUUUGAUUUUGAAUUUUUCAAACUAUAUAUGUAUUGUAAUAAAAAAAGAUUAUAUUCUAAUUUUUUUUUUUUACUUUCA